rnacentral:tRNA from 1 species
CGGGGACCUGGCCCGGCCCCGGGCGGUGGCGACGGUCGCCGCGAACUACCGGCGGUUCGCCGCCGCCUUCCUCGCC